rnacentral:ncRNA from 13 species
GCUGUGGCGGAGUGGUUAACGCUGUAGACUGCUAAUCUAUUUCCCUCUGGGAGCGUGAGUUCGAAUCUCACCGGCG